GGCAAGGCAUUUAGUUUGACCCCCCGAAACUAAGCGAGCUACUUCAAAACAGCCUUAAAGGGCCAACCCGUCUCUGUUGCAAAAGAGUGGGAAGAUUUUCAAGUAGAGGUGAUAGACCUACCGAGCUUAGAGAUAGCUGGUUAUUUAGGAAAAGGAUCUAAGUCCUACCUUAAGUUCCACAGUAACUACCAUUACAUCAAUGAACCUAAGAGCUAUUCAAAUAAGGUACAGCCUAUUUGAAACAGGAUACAACCUAAACCACAGGGUAAUGUAAUAUACACUGUGACCAAGUGGGCCUAAGAGCAGCCACCUUUCAAAAAGCGUUAAAGCUUAGUCACUAAUUUUCUUAAAUUCCAAUAAUUUAUCAAAACCCUUUUUCAGUACUAAAUGACUCCAUAACCUUAUGGAAAACCAUAUGCUAGAACUAGUAACAAGAAGAAGACCUUCUCCAAAAUACAAGUGUGAGCCGAAAUGAACAACUCACCGGCAUUUAACGUAAAUGAGCCCACAGUAGCAACCAAACAAGAAAACCCUACUCAUUUCUACGUCAACCUUACACCAGUGUAUUUCUGGAAAGAUUAAAAGAAGAGGAAGGAACUCGGCAAAUUAUUAACUCCGCCUGUUUACCAAAAACAUCGCCUCUUGACAAAAUAUAAGAGGUCCAGCCUGCCCAGUGACAAAGUUAAACGGCCGCGGUACCCUAACCGUGCGAAGGUAGCGCAAUCACUUGUUCUUUAAAUAAGGACUAGUAUGAACGGCAUCACGAGAGUUAUACUGUCUCCCUCUUUCAAUCAGUGAAACUGACCUCCCCGUGAAGAGGCGGGGAUAUAAUUAUAAGACGAGAAGACCCCAUGGAGCUUUAAACUCAGUAUCAAUUACCUAAUUAUACACCAUUUUAACCUGGUAAAUAUGACCACUAGUUUUCGGUUGGGGUGACCGCGGAGUAAAAUAAAACCUCCACGAUGAAAGGACCAAUCCUCCUAAUCAAAGAGCCACAGCUCAAAGAAUCAAUAAAUUGACAUAAUUGAUCCAAUUAAUUUUGAUCAACGAACCAAGUUACCCUGGGGAUAACAGCGCAAUCCACUUCAAGAGCUCCUAUCGACAAGUGGGUUUACGACCUCGAUGUUGGAUCAGGGUAUCCCAGUGGUGCAGCCGCUACUAAAGGUUCGUU
rnacentral:rRNA from 1 species